rnacentral:snoRNA from 1 species
AUCAUCAGUAGUGGUUAAUACUAUCUAAAGAUAAUAUUAAUUACAAUUUCUAGAAACCUAAGUUUCCAUUAUCUCAGUCCUCAUGGUCCUCUGGUUCAAGAUUCUAUCCUGGAGUGUUGUUCCGUUCAGGGCUUGGUUAAUACUGGGAUUUGAGUAAUGGUUACAGUUUUUUAACCCAUAGCUGAACGGAUUUUGACUGGCCCCAAACAAGCUAGCUACAAUUUCCGUUUCGUUUCCGGUUUCUUAGAUUAUUAUCUGUUAUGAGAGGGUCUGGAAGUCAGUCGGUUGUUAAAACCUAAACGGUUCAGAAGACGCAUGUUAUCCAUUGUGCUACUUAACUGUCGCUUAUGUUGGGUAUCCGUUGUGCCCCCUCUCAUGUCAGGACAUCU